rnacentral:rRNA from 1 species
GAUGAACGCUGGCGGCGUGCCUAAUACAUGCAAGUCGAGCGAACGGACGAGAAGCUUGUUUCUCUGAUGUUAGCGGCGGACGGGUGAGUAACACGUGGAUAACCUACCUAUAAGACUGGGAUAACUUCGGGAAACCGGAGCUAAUACCGGAUGAUAUUUUGAACCGCAUGGUUCAAAAGUGAAAGACGGUCUUGCUGUCACUUAUAGAUGGAUCCGCGCUGCUUUAGCUAGUUGGUAAGGUAAGGGCUUACCAAGGCAACGAUGCAUAGCCGACCUGAGAGGGUGGUCGGCAACAUGGGACUGUGACCACGCUCCAGACUCCUACGGGAGGCAGCAGAAGGGAAUCUUCCGCAAUGGGCGAAAGCCUGCCGGAGCACGGCCGCGUGAGUGAUGAAGGUCUUGGGAUCGUAAAACUCUGUUAUUAGGGAAGAACAUAUGUGUAAGUAAAUGUGCACAUCUUGACGGUACCUAAUCAGAAAGCCACGGCUAACUACGUG